UACGUAGGUGGCAAGCGUUGUCCGGAUUUAUUGGGCGUAAAGCGCGCGCAGGCGGUUUCUUAAGUCUGAUGUGAAAGCCCACGGCUUAACCGUGGAACUGCUUGGUAUACUGGCGGUCUUGAGCCAGCUAGGGGCUACCGGAACAAAUGGUGGAGCGGUGAAAUGCGUUGAUAUCGGAAGGAACGCCGGUGGCGAAAGCGACCCGCUGGACCUCUUCUGACGCUGAGGCGCGAAAGCCAGGGGAGCAAACGGG
rnacentral:rRNA from 1 species